CCAGAAAACCUGAAACUUAAUAUUUGUAUAUUUAAGCAUCUUCAGGUAGGGUAUAUUUAAGUUUGUUCAAUGAUAAACAUAAGAAUAUCCAGGGGAAGAAUAAUUAAUUUUUUUAUACAGGACCUAUUUUACUAUAUAGUCCAGUUAUUUUGUACAUGUUUAUGACUUCAUAAUGCUCAGAUUUUACUAUGUCUAUUGUUGCUCAGGUGAGCGAUGUGGCCCGUGGACUUCUUGUGAUUUUUUUUACUGUAGUGUAUCUUUUUUUUUUAAACAACAGGGUAUUUGUUCAUACAUGUGUAUUAUAGAAUAUUCCAAUUUGUACAUACAUGUAGCUGAUAGAUUUUUUCACUUUUUGUACUUAGAUUGGUUAUUCAUAAUCGUGUUGUUGAAAAUAUGCGUACAUGCAUAACUGCAUGAAUAUCACAGGCACCUGACGUCAUAUAAUUUUCUUAUAAUAAGAAUAUAGAUAAAGGGUAUUAUAAAUUUUUAUUAUGAAAAAAACAUAUGUAACGCCAGGUGCCUGUGAUAAAUAUGUACUUGAUAUCACAUGAAGCUAAAACUAUAAAAUGAACAAUACUUAAAAUAAAUAAAACAUAUUUUCGCUCUGUCAUUGAAUGUCCAUAUGUAAUAGUUACAUGUACAUUUUGACUAUGGUUUACUUGACGAUAGAAAAUAAAACAAUUUUUUUUUCUUUGAAAAGAAUCCCAAUUUUCUCAUUGUUAAGAUGCAUUUACCUUUACCUAUGUCUGGAUUGAAUAAACCGUCAAUGAAUCAAAUAAAGUGUUUUUACAUUGCACCAAAA
rnacentral:misc_RNA from 1 species